AUAUUGGGCGUAAGAGCUCGUAGGCGGUUUGUCGCGUCUGCCGUGAAAGUCCGGGGCUCAACUCCGGAUCUGCGGUGGGUACGGGCAGACUAGAGUGAUGUAGGGGAGACUGGAAUUCCUGGUGUAGCGGUGAAAUGCGCAGAUAUCAGGAGGAACACCGAUGGCGAAGGCAGGUCUCUGGGCAUUAACUGACGCUGAGGAGCGAAAGCAUGGGGAGCGAACAGGAUUAGAUACCCUGGUAGUCCAUGCCGUAAACGUUGGGCACUAGGUGUGGGGGACAUUCCACGUUUUCCGCGCCGUAGCUAACGCAUUAAGUGCCCCGCCUGGGGAGUACGGCCGCAAGGCUAAAACUCAAAGGAAUUGACGGGGGCCCGCACAAGCGGCGGAGCAUGCGGAUUAAUUCGAUGCAACGCGAAGAACCUUACCAAGGCUUGACAUGAACCGGUAACGCCUGGAGACAGGUGCCCCGCUUGCGGUCGGUUUACAGGUGGUGCAUGGUUGUCGUCAGCUCGUGUCGUGAGAUGUUGGGUUAAGUCCCGCAACGAGCGCAACCCUCGUUCUAUGUUGCCAGCACGUGAUGGUGGGGACUCAUAGGAGACUGCCGGGGUCAACUCGGAGGAAGGUGGGGACGACGUCAAAUCAUCAUGCCCCUUAUGUCUUGGGCUUCACGCAUGCUACAAUGGCCGGUACAAAGGGUUGCGAUACUGUGAGGUGGAGCUAAUCCCAAAAAGCCGGUCUCAGUUCGGAUUGGGGUCUGCAACUCGACCCCAUGAAGUCGGAGUCGCUAGUAAUCGCAGAUCAGCAACGCUGCGGUGAAUACGUUCCCGGGCCUUGUACACACCGCCCGUCAAGUCACGAAAGUUGGUAACACCCGAAGCCGGUGGCCUAACCCCUUGUGGGAGGGAGCUGUCGAAGUGGGACUGGCGAUUGGG
rnacentral:rRNA from 1 species